CUGAAGAGGAUAUAAUUCCUCGUAAC
rnacentral:guide_RNA from 1 species